GGUGAACGCUGGCGGCGUGCCUAAUACAUGCAAGUCGAGCGAACGGACGAGAAGCUUGCUUCUCUGAUGUUAGCGGCGGACGGGUGAGUAAAACGUGGAUAACCUACCUAUAAGACUGGGAUAACUUCGGGAAACCGGAGCUAAUACCGGAUAAUAUUUUGAACCGCAUGGUUCAAAAGUAAAAGACGGUCUUGCUGUCACUGAUAGAUGGAUCCGCGCUGCAUUAGCUAGUUGGUAAGGUAACGGCUUACCAAGGCAACGAUGCAUAGCCGACCUGAGAGGGUGAUCGGCCACACUGGAACUGAGACACGGUCCAGACUCCUACGGGAGGCAGCAGUAGGGAAUCUUGCGCAAUGGGCGAAAGCCUGACGGAGCAACGCCGCGUGAGUGGUGAAGGUCUUCGGAUCGUAAAACUCUGUUAUUAGGGAAGAACAUAUGUGUAAGUAACUGUGCACAUCUUGACGGUACCUAAUCAGAAAGCCACGGCUAACUACGUG
rnacentral:rRNA from 1 species